rnacentral:rRNA from 1 species
GACACGGACCAGACUCCUACGGGAGGCAGCAGUGAGGAAUAUUGGUCAAUGGCCGGGAGGCUGAACCAGCCAAGUCGCGUGAGGGAAGACGGCCCUACGGGUUGUAAACCUCUUUUGUCAGGGAGCAAGAGGCGGGUCGAGACCUGCUGUGAGAGUACCUGAAGAAAAAGCAUCGGCUAACUCCGUGCCAGCAGCCGCGGUAAUACGGAGGAUGCGAGCGUUAUCCGGAUUUAUUGGGUUUAAAGGGUGCGCAGGCGGAGGCACAAGUCAGCGGUAAAAUCGCGGGGCUCAACCCCGCUCCGCCGUUGAAACUGUGUCCCUUGAGUGCGCGAAGGGUAGGCGGAAUGCGUGGUGUAGCGGUGAAAUGCAUAGAUAUCACGCAGAACUCCGAUCGCGAAGGCAGCCUACCGGCGCGCAACUGACGCUCAUGCACGAAAGCGUGGGUAUCGAACAGGAUUAGAUACCCUGGUAGUCCACGCAGUAAACGAUGAAUGCUAUCUGUCCGGCCGGAAUGACGGCUGG